UAAUUAUUAACCAAGAUUCCAAACCACAAUCAUAAAUAGAAAAAUAAAGUACAGAAAAUGUAAAAUCAACGCAGAGAUUUUUUCAGCCGAAACCUCAAAGGUUCGACGACCAUUUCUAACGCCUAAUCCCAUGUUGAGCAUCCAUUAAAAUGGAUAAAACUCGGUUGCACUUAAAGCCCCAAAAUCACGUAGCAAAUAUACAAUAAUGUUUCAGAAAUUACAACAAAUGAGUCACUAAGACUUAUCUUUUCUGGAACCACAGAAAGGAGCCAUUAUUGCACAAAGAAACUGGUCAAGAUCACAAAAAACUCAAGAACCUCGAACUGCCCCUCUCUCACAAAACAAUUGUAAUCUCUUCUUUCACAGCAAGUAAUGUUCCACCAAGGAACCCAACAAAUCAGCCACUUUAGUUUACAAGAAGAGGUCGAAAAUCACUAAGAUUUCACAAGAAAACGAGCCAAAAACGAAUCACACAGAUUCGACUCGACAAAGACCAAAAUUGCACAACACCUAAAUAAAUCUCAAGUAUUUCUUGGUAUUGGCUGAUAUUAUUUUCAGAAAAACUUCAGAAAAUUAACCCCUAAUUUCACUAAGAAGAAAGGGCUUUUCGCACAAGGAGAGAGAGAAAAUGAGCAGCC
rnacentral:lncRNA from 1 species